rfam:Sporothrix schenckii ATCC 58251 unplaced genomic scaffold supercont1.5, whole genome shotgun sequence.
GCCAGUUUGGCCGAGUGGUGAUGGCGGUAGUCCUGAGAACUAUUAUCGAGAGAUGCACAGGUUCGAAUCCUGUAACUGGCA